rnacentral:lncRNA from 1 species
UCCGACACGUGUUGUGCGUCGAUGGUAGAUACCAACUAAAUGUCGAACCCACCACCAAGGCAACUUGACUUGCUUGACUGAAAAAUAUUUUUAACAAAAUUUUGACAGAUUUCCCCCCUAAAAUAUGCACUAAAACCACCUGGACAAUAAUCAAGUUUCCUCAAUUCAAUACCUAUAAUAUAAAACAAGGUACCUCAAUACCUCAGAAUACAAACUAUUCAAUUAAAAUGUUGUUGAUUCAAUAUUUAUUUGCGUUACAACCAAUAAUCCUCAAAUAUACCAAAUACGUCAAAGAUGUAAUGAGCCCAUGAUGAAUUUUUCUGAUUCUUGUACCCCAAAAGAACACAUACUAUAUAAUCUGAUAAAGGAUGUCAUACAACCUACGAAGCGUGGCUCAAUUUGGUAGUUUAACAGGCUCCAAAGCUGCUCAAAUCCGCUGCUAGCUGUCUGAUAAAAAAAAAGGUGAAAAAAAUAUAUGAGCUUAAAGCUCAGUGAGUGGAUAAUUUUCAAAUAAGUAAACUUUUCUCAUUUAUAUAUAUUUUCUGAAAAUUCUUGCACUACUAAAACUUCUAGAAAUUCUGAAAUUUAAUAACACUUUUAAAAUCAAACAUGAAUAUAUCAUAAAAUUUUUUAUUCUUCAUUCUAGAUAAGUAACUGUAAAAUGUAACGAAUAUAAAUAAUAUGACAUCCGUGAAAUUCUAUGAAAUAUUGCUGCUGCUCAGUACUAUAAGUUGAAAGCUUUAAUCUGAGAACUGAGUAGACCGAAUUCUAUAAUCUGAAAUCUGAUAAGCUAUAGAAAUACUGAAAAAUCAUACCAAAAAGGUACCCAGAAUAACUAUACUCAUGUAUUAGUUUGCACCGAUAGACAUAACAAAGCUAUUCAAUUAUGUAAUUCUAAAAUUCUGGUCAUACACGCACAAAGCUAUUUGGUCAUACACUACGGAAAUACAUUCACAAUAGUGCAGAGCGGGUAAAAUCACCAUAGCUGGUCAUACACUGUAGAAACACAUUCACACCAGUCCGGAGCGGGUAAGAUAACCAUAUGGAGUCAUAUACUGUGAAAACACAUUCAUACAAGUGCAGAUUAGGGUAAAGUCACCUGGGUACUUUCUGAUGGUUUUAAAGUAAUUUUAAAUAUAUUGAAAUAUUUAAUACUGAAAUGGUAUGUCAAUGAAAUGAUUUAACUAAACCGAAUUUAACUUUAAAAAUGAUUGUUUAUAAAUCAACUUUAUUCUAAAAAUUACGCUAUCAAAUCAACUUUAUGAAAUAAUAGAUUUAUUUAAUCUAACAUAAAUUUAAUAAAUAGUAAUUUCUAAAAAAUAAGUUUUUAUCCAUUCACCAAGUCAUAGUUGAUCAUUGUUUCGAUCUUCUCGUUGCCUCCUCACUUUCAAUACUAAGAAUGUUAUCACGCUCUCGCUACAAUAAAUCAUAUCCCCUCAUAGAGGAGUUUUGAGUAUUUUCCUACCAUUAAAAAUAUUAAUUUACCAAUGGGAACUUAAUAUAUUUUAUUUUCAACUUCAUAAUCCCAAUUAAGGUCACUAACAACAUAUACUCCUUCAUAUAAAUUAUUUUAACACCAAAACCUCAAAUAUUCAACACUUAAUUUGGUUCCAAUACUAAAAAUCCACCAAACUUAGAUGAUUGACAAAACUAGCACAAUCAUUCCAAAAUAUUGAAACUAGCACCAAUGUCUAUAUAUUAAAAAAUCUAUCAUCGAAAACAUGGACAGAAAUAGCGCUUUUCUGGACAGUUCAAAAAUAGCACAUAUACUACAAUAGCUCGAAAAUGGCUGAAAAAUUGGAGAAUUUCAACCUCAAAUCCUUAAUCUAAGUGUUUAGUAACAUAUAAUCACAUGAAUUUAAAAAAAUAUGCCUUUAUCUCACAAACCCAUUUCCAAAGUUUCCACUUUCUUCAACAUCAAUAUCCAAAUAAACAUUUAUUUGCUAUAUCUUUAUUUAUAACAUCAAAUACAUAUCAAUAACACAUAUUUCUAGCUAAAAACUUUGAAUUAAAACAAAUUGUCCAUAUCCCUUAAAAAAUUAAUUCAAUAUACUUUAUACUUACCAUUUAAAUCAAAGAGAAGUUGACAACUUGAAAACCCUAGCUUGAAACCAUCUUCUUCUUCUUCUUCUUCUUCUUCUUCCCUUCUCUUUUCUUCUCACUCGGUUUCUCUCUAGCCUUCUCCCAUUUUCCUCCAAAAAUAUAGAAAAUGGGUAAAUAGAUGAUAUUUAAUGGAUAAUUAUUGAAUAAUUGCAUAUCAAGUCCCUCCUUUUAUGUUUUAAAUAAAGUCUAGUCAUUAACUUUCCAUUCUUGUAAAAUAAAUCCUCAAGUUUAAAUAAUGUUCAUGUUAAACCCUCAAGGAUUGUCAAUUUGUAAAAUAACUCCAAUAAAAUAAUUUACUUCAUUAAGGUCCCCAUUUGACUUUGACUUUGAAAAUUCAACUCUUGCCUUUUUACUAGAUAAAAUGGGUUGUAACAAUAUGUGCUUGAAACUAGUGUGUAUCCGAGAGAGACCGAAUCCAUGAAAGAGCUACGUAAUAAGACUGAAACACACAGUAGCUGGUAAAAUUCAAUCCAUUUUCAAUUUUAUUUUAUUUAUUAUUUUUUUUAUUUUUUUUAUUAUUUUAGUGAAGAUCCAAUCUGGAUUUUAAUAAAUUUUAAAUUAUACAGGAGCUACAAGACUAGUUCUGCUGAUGUAGGUCAGUUCUUGAACAUGAUUCUCAAACUCAUCAAUGCCACGAACACAAUGCAAAUUGGAAUACAGAGCGGUUAUGUUCUCCUUUCAACUGCACUGGCUACUCCUAAUGAUGGAAAGGUAAGAGUUUCAAUAUCUAGAAUGAUUAUUUAAUCUAUCUAGGAUGGUCAAAUGAAUAGUGUCUAGAAAGCUCUUUUCUUGAAUGUCAUCAGAUUUUGUGCAUAGAUUACGGCCGUGGAAAUUAUCAACUCUAUUUUCCAGCAAUCGAAAAGGCUGGCAUGGCUCACAAAAUCGACUACAAUGAAAGUUCGAUAUCUCUUGUUCUUAAAAUGAGCAAAGAUGUAAGUAUAUGCAACUUAUUUCUUACAUUUUAAUUGCUUUUUCUUAAUUUCAAUAUAUUAUAAAUAUACCACAAUUACUUUGUCAAAUGUAAUACAGGAAAAGCAUCACGGGGAAUUUGAUUUCAUUUACGUGGACGCUCACAAGACAACUUGUUCAGAAUAUCACGAGACAUUGAUUGAAUUAGCCAGGAUAGGGGGAGUCAUUGUUUAUGACAAAACUCUCCUCAGUGAGACUCUGGGGACGCUGCGGAUCGGAUCAGACAAUGAUGCUAGUGGAAAUAGGUAUUAUGGGGAUCCAGUGUUACUGUUUAACGAGAAAGUGGCUUCUGAUCUAAGAGUCGAGAUUUGCCAGGUUCCAGUGGGCAUCGGCGUCAGUCUUUGCCGCCGUAUAAGAUGAUCAGUUAAGGAAGAUAUAAAAUGUUCAACUGGCUGCAGCAGCAUUAUUUCUAUCAAAUUCCGCCAUUUAUUUUACUUCACAUUUCGCGCAGCAUAUGCUUCUGCACCUAUAUAAUAUGCACUUGUUAUUCCUUUUCUAUCAGCUGCCUGCAAGUACAACGAUUCAUAUCAGAAUGUUUAUUGCACGGUUCUUGUUAGGGUUUAGGGUUUCAGUGUCUAUUAAUAGUAGUGUGAGUCUAUGUUUCUGAUUAACUAUUGGUUCUGCAAAUUCAACAAGAAUGUUUAUUGCACUGUUCUUGUUACAAUGUCUAUUAUUUUUGCAGUGUUUUUAUAUGUUUAUCAUUAACUAAUGAUCCAGCAACUCUGAAAAGCUCCCAAAUUGUUUUGGUAAAAACCUUUCAAAUUAAAAUACACUAAUAAAUAAAACAUUUUCUUUUCGUUAUGUUUUCUAAGACAACUCCAAUUAUAGCCGUGAUUUAAAUUAUGUUUUAGAAAUGCUUAAACUCACGACAGCAAAAAUUAUAACCUUNNNNNNNNNNNNNNNNNNNNNNNNNNNNNNNNNNNNNNNNNNNNNNNNNNNNNNNNNNNNNNNNNNNNNNNNNNNNNNNNNNNNNNNNNNNNNNNNNNNNNNNNNNNNNNNNNNNNNNNNNNNNNNNNNNNNNNNNNNNNNNNNNNNNNNNNNNNNNNNNNNNNNNNNNNNNNNNNNNNNNNNNNNNNNNNNNNNNNNNNNNNNNNNNNNNNNNNNNNNNNNNNNNNNNNNNNNNNNNNNNNNNNNNNNNNNNNNNNNNNNNNNNNNNNNNNNNNNNNNNNNNNNNNNNNNNNNNNNNNNNNNNNNNNNNNNNNNNNNNNNNNNNNNNNNNNNNNNNNNNNNNNNNNNNNNNNNNNNNNNNNNNNNNNNNNNNNNNNNNNNNNCCAUAGCCCUCCAAGGAAAUGGGACGAACCGUGAGCAACACUAUUAACAAUAGGUUGCUUCUAACGGUCCAUAGGAAUGUGGAUUGGGUUGUCUCGAUAAUUAUGUCGAUAUACAAAUCAAUCAUAUGGCCAAGGCUGAUUGAUAAUAGAACCGGGGUUACAUCAUAGCUCGGGGGGUCGUUUGACAACAAAUUGUCUAACAACCUCCACCUUGGUGUCAAAGGACCUGCAAAAGAAAAAUGUCUCCCAUUAGUGACACCUCUAAUAGAAAAUCGAUAAAAAUUGGAAAUCAUUUACCUGUACCAAUGUUUAGAAGUUCCUUGUAACUUCUAAAUUUUGCCAGUGGCAGUACCUUCGUCCCCAUAUCAAAGGGGUUGUAGUGGGUGUGGACCUUUUCAAGUCUUAUCACCUCUUGAGAUACUAUAUUUGUAAUGAAGUGGAGUCUAACAUCAGUGUGUUUAGUGCGCUCGUGAAAAAUGGGGUUCUCGCAUAAAUGUAUAGAUGACUGACUAUCAGAAUACACUACCAUAUAAUCAUUCAAGAUACAUAGUUUAUGAAGUAGGCCUCUAAGCCAUAGAGCUUCUUUAAUAGCUUCAGUGGUAGCAAUAUAUUCUGAUUCUGUAGUAGAUAGUGCAAAAAUAUGUUGUAACUGUGAUUUCCAACUUACACAUGAAUUAGAUACUUCCCAAUGUUCAGGGCCCGGAUUAACCAUAUAUCUACUGAGAGUACUAACAGCAAAACAUAAAUCCAGUCUAGUGCAAACCAUCAAAUACAUUAUGGAAUCAAUCACAUUAGAGUAAGGCACUCUACUCAUGUAUUCUACUUCACGCUCAUUGUAAGGGGAUUGUUCCUUCGAUAAAACAAAAUGAUUAGCAAGAGGCAACGUGACAGAUUUGCAAUCACUCAUAUUAAAUUUCUUCAAUACUUUGGAUAUGUAUGGAGACUGAUGCAAAAACAAAACAGAAUUUGACAUGUCUCUUUCGAUUUCAAUACCUAACAUUCUCUUAGCCUUACCUAGAUCUUUCGAUUUCAAUACCUAAGAUUCUCUUAACCUUACCUAGGUCUUUCAUGUCAAAUUCACCACUUAGUUUUGCUUUUAUGUUAUUUAUUUACUUAGAGGAUGAUUCAAUCAAAAGCAUGUCAUCUACAUAGAGCAACAAAAACAUAUAAUUAUCAUCAGUCUCAUUGUGUUGAAAAUACAGACAGUGAUCAAAUUUACUUCUUUGGAACCAUAUAGUGAGUACAAAGGAAUCAAAGCUCUUGUAGCACUGUUUAGGAGAUUGUUUUAACCCAUACAAGGAUCUUCUCAGAAAACACACAUAAUCAGUUUUUGACUUAUCCUUAAAACCUUUUAGUUGAUUCAUGAAAAUUUGUUUAUCAAGCUUACCAUGUAAAAAAAUAGUUUUUACGUCAAGUUGUUCAAGUUCCCAGUCAAAGUGUGCAACCAAUGCGAGCAUGACCCUAAUAGUGGUGUACUUAACAACUGGUGAGAAAAUUUCAUUAUAAUCAACGCCCUCCUUCUGUGUAUAGCCUUUAGCUACUAACCUACCUUUAAACCUUAGGGGUUUCGAGCUGCUAAUACUUUCCUUAACCUUAAAGACCCAUUUGCAAUCAACAAUUGAUUUGUUCUUAGGCCUAGGUACUAGCUCCCAAGUAUGAUUCUUUUCUAGAGAACUCAUCUCUUCUUUCAUUGCCUUAAGUCAUUCAUUAGAUUGAUCACUGCCUAUUGCCUCUUCAAAGGUCUUUGGUUCUUUAUCAGCUAGUUCUUCGUAACUAGCCUGGGCGAAAGCUAAUUCAGAUUCAAAAUCGAACCUUAUAGGUUCUCUCGUUUGUCUUCUCUCUCUAUCCCUAAUUAAGUUAUAGUUAGCUAAAGGAUUUUCUUCCUCAUUAUGCUCUUUUGUCAUUAUUUCGUUACUAUUCUCCACCUCGGGUUCUUGAGCUUGAGUCUCCACCUCACUUGAAGCAGUAAGGGCAGGUGGACUGAGUUUUCCUAACUCCACCUUAAAUUGGUCUCUCUCUUUACCUGGUUCAGCUUCACUCUCAGGUUCAGUUUCUCCUUUAAUACACGACAUCUCAUUUUCAUUAAACGUGACAUCUCUACUUAUGAUGAUCUUCACCCCUUUUUGGCUUCUAUCCCAUAACCUAUAACCCUUAACACCCUCGGGGUAUCCUAGAAAGACACACUUCCUAACUCUAGGUUCCAACUUACCCUUACUUUGAUGAGAAAAAGUUGUACAGCCAAAAGUUCUAAGCAUCGAGUAAUCACUCAGUUUAUCUGACCAUCUCUCAUGCAAAGUGUCACCAUUCAAUGCAGCAGAAGGAGUCAAAUUAAUCAAAUAACAAGUGGUCAUAAUAACCUCACCCCAAAAUGAUUUGGGAAUACCAGAACUAAUCAUCAUGCAGCGUACUUUAUCAAGUAUGGUCCUAUUCAUCCUUUCUGCUGCCCCAUUUUGCUGAGGAGUGUAAGAAAUGGUCUUAUAUCUAGUUAUGCCGCUUUCUUUACACAUACUAUCAAAUUCCUUAUUGCAGAAUUCUAGGCCGUUCUCUGUCCUUAAAAUUUGAUUUUUUUUGCCAAUUUGGUUUUCCACUUGUCUCUUCCAAUUGUUAAAACUAUUAAAUGUCUUAGAUUUAUCCUUCAAAAGAUAGACCUAUAUUUUCCUAGUGUAGUCAUUGAUAAUAGACAGGAAAUACCUAUUCCCACCCGAUGUGGGAUUACUAGCAGGACCCCAUAGAUCAGAGUGCACAUAUUCGAGCAUGCCUUUAGCUCUAUUAACACUCGUGGAGAAAGAAGUUUUAUGAUAUUUACCAAGCACACAAUGAUCACAAAAUGACAAAUCUGACACACAGUCAUUACCAAAAGCACAUUUUUCGUUAAGUAGCUUAAGUCCCUUGACCCCUACGUGAGCAAGUCUAUUAUGCCAUGUGUGUGUGUGAUCAAUCUUGGCAAAGGAGAUAUAGGGGUUCACACCUCUAAUCACUUCCCCAGUAGUAAUAUAUAUAUAUAUAUAUAUAUAUAUAUAUANNNNNNNNNNNNNNNNNNNNNNNNNNNNNNNNNNNNNNNNNNNNNNNNNNNNNNNNNNNNNNNNNNNNNNNNNNNNNNNNNNNNNNNNNNNNNNNNNNNNNNNNNNNNNNNNNNNNNNNNNNNNNNNNNNNNNNNNNNNNNNNNNNNNNNNNNNNNNNNNNNNNNNNNNNNNNNNNNNNNNNNNNNNNNNNNNNNNNNNNNNNNNNNNUAUAUAUAUCGUUUUUCUUAAUUCCCUUAAUGGAAACUAAAGCACCCUUGAUCAUUUUUAGCAUAUCAUUUCCAAUUUUACUAGUAAAAUCAUCCUUUUCAAGUCUUCCCAUUGAAAUCAGAUUCCUAGACAACUCAGGAAUUUAUCUAACGUCCUUUAACGUAUACACAAAAUCUGUGUCAAAUUUUGCGUUUAAGUCACCAAUUCCAACAAUAGUAUAGGCAAAGUUAUCACACAGCACAACAUGCCCAACAUUAGAUUCAUGUAACUUAUAAAAUCAAUUCUUUUCAAAAGUCACAUGAAAAGAUGUACCAGAGUCAAGUAUCCACUCAUGCAUGCGGAAAUUAGCAGUUAGAUUUAAUUCAGCAGUGUAUGCAACGGGACUUGUAAUCAUAUAGACCUUACCACCAUUUAUAUCGGAGGUAGAUGCUAACACAUUGACCUUAUCUCUCUCUUUAACCUUUAGCUUACCCUUCUCCUUAUGACAAUCUUUUAUAAAAUGCCCCGUGUUUCCACAACCAUAGCAUUUUCUCGCCUUAGUCCUAGAUUUUGAUCUAGACCUACCUUUGCUCUUCUUUUUCCAUCCAUUACCACUUGACUCGCCACUAGUUUGAUAUCCAUCAUGACUAUUUUGCCUAAAUUGAGUUCUACCUCGCAUCAUAUGUACCUCACCAUUCCUCUUAUCAUGUUUUUUAGCCCUAAUUUCCAUUUCUUUACUUCUAAGGGAAUCUAUGACAAUUUCAGGUGCCAACGUGUCUCUACCAUACUUAAUGGUGUUCUUAACUUCCUUAUAGGAAUCAAGAAUUGCAUUGAGCAAAAUUAUAGCCUUAUAAGUUUCGGACACUGUCUCAUCACAAUUAACUAUAUCUUGCACUAAUUUAUUAAACACAUCUGAAUUGUCAUCAAGAUCUUUUGAGGGAUCCAUUUUGAAACUGAAAAAACGUUCGAGCAAGUAAAGUUUAUUCGGUGUAGACUUAAGCAAAUACAAGUCUUCUAAUUUUUUCCAAGGUUCUUUAGUGGUUUUCAGUUUACCCACCUUUCUUAAAACAGCGUCAGACAAGUGUAAAAUAAUUGAGGUAUAAGCAAGAUCAUCGGCUUCUUCUCUUUAUUUUUGUGAAAAAUCAGUUGAAAAAUUACCUUCAAUGGCCUUUGAAACCUUUUCUUGGGCUAAAAUGCCCUUCAUUUUUUGUUGCCAAAUAGCAAAGUCACCCUUUCCAUUAAAAAUUUUCAAAUCAAAAUUGUGAGCUGUCAUUUUUACACAACAGUCAAAAAAUGCACAAACCAUAAUCAAACCACACAAAGUAGUCCUAGGGUCACAGAUAGUAUCCACCGUUCUAGAUUCUCAGGGUUUCGUAAGACUUGCGGUCUUAGAUCAAGGGAAUAUUCGAACGAGUAAGGUCACGGUAUUUCUAAUGGAAUAAGUAAGCAGAGGAAGUAACAAUGUAGCAAGAAAUACGUCUAGCAGAUAACUAGUCUCACAGUAAUUAGAUCACUAAAAAUUACAAAACUAAUUUUAACCCAAAAACAAAUACUCAAUCAAAACAAUCAAGAGCACAUAACGCUAAUUCUAGCACAAGCAAUCAUUGCUAAGCGAUGACAACCCCCAACCUAUUGUCACCCCCACACGGUGACGCGCUAAUACUGAAAAUUAACGGGUUAAGGCAAUUUACUAGAACGGACGUGUCUGAGUCCGUAUAAUCGAGAGAGAUGCAAAUUUGCUACUUUGGGGCCACCACUAUUCGCCCUAAAGAUUCAGCAAAUAUAGCAAUUCUGAUCAGCAACAAAUGCAGAUUGAAGGUCGGGGCGAAAUCCUCUAAUCUUUUCUGCACAACCUGAAAUACUAAACCAAACAUAUUAGAAUGUUUAGGAAAUCAAAAUUAGUAAAAUGGCACGAAAAAACUGUGCAGGCAGUCCUCCAUGCGUCGCCAUCCACUACCAGUCGCCGUCCCAUGCGCUUCACCAUCAGAGGCGCCUCCACCUGCUGGUUAUGGGUCCGACCUCCGUUCGUCCAACAGAGGUCGCGUUUGGUUGGAAUAGAUUCGGCCCCUUUGAGAAAUCACGAGACCCGCCGCCGUUUUGGUGGAUUUUUGGCUAGAGGAGAUGAUCGGCGGCUAUGAUACCAGAUGUAGUGCCAAAUUUCGGCCAACACCAAGGUAAACCGGGCUCAGUUUCACCAAGAAAUCGCGACACCAACGGGUUGAGACAACUUCAAACCACCACCAACACCGCCCCACUUUCGGUUGCUAUUAGUUGGGUAAGAUGAAGAACAAUAAUAUGCCCACUUGAAAUAAAUCACAAAGGUCACAGAGAAGAGAAGGAAUCAAGGGGAGAGUGUCACAGAGAGAGGUUGGGCAUUCUUCAUAUGGAGGCCGAGAGGAAGGCCAAGAAUAUAAGCUAAGCAAAUAACCAAACAAGGUAAGUUAUGUUAGGGUUAUUUAGUGGACCAAACAAGACUCGACUCAAAGAUAAUGUGCUUCAAAUUAAUAACAUUGCCCUUAAGGAAAUGGGACGAACCGGGAACAACACUAUUAACAAUAGAUUGCUUCGAACGGUCCAUAGGAAUGUGGAUUGGGUUGUCUCGAUAAUUGUGUCGAUAUACUAAUCAAUCAUAUGGCCAAGGCCGAUUGAUAAUAGAAUCGGGAUUACAUCAUAGCUCGGGGGGUCGUUUGACAACAAAUUGCCUAACACAUGUCACAUGAGAAGGUCACCUUUCAACUGAUAGGGAAAAUAAAAUUUUGAUUUUUUAAAAUAAAAAUAUCAUUAUACUUUGCCAAAAAGAAAAUAAGAUCACCUUCCCAUUAAUGAUUAUUUUCACACCCUUUUGACUUCUAUCCCACAUUCUAUAAGCUUUUACGUACUCCCUUAGGAUAAUCUAGAAAGACACAUUUUCUAACUCUAUGUUUGAGCUUUUCCUUACUUUGAUAAGCAUAACCAAAAAUAGUAAGCAUGUGUUGAUGAUAGAAAUCUACAAAUCCUCUUAAAAAGUUAUGAUUUUUGCCUCCUAAACUUAUUAUUUUGAUGUUCAAACUAAAAUAAGAGGUAAACAGUUAUUUUAGAGGAAGAUAUUUGAAUUGCAUGCUCUUUUCUUCAAAAGUAGAGGUAUUUAUAGAUUUUCGUUAAGCCUUAGAGCAGUUUGUUCGUUGGGGAGAAUUACAGAUGGUGGCUCUUUAUUGACUAGCUCAUAACGAAUUCUAUUAUUUAUAUUAAAUCUAGUACUAGUUGUAUUUUUAUCGAUUUUAUGAAUUCAUUGUACUUCUUAUUGUAAGUGUAGCUGAUGUGGCUUGUAUUGACAAGAUAUGUUAUGAUCGUUGUAGUUUUUGCGUGCGCUAUAGUACUUAUUUGUGCAUUUUUAGGUUAAUGCCCUAUAGGCAUUUAAUGUGCGUGUUCGUCACGCAUAAAUCUCAUCCAUAUAGUUUCGAAUAUAGAUCAAACUCAUGUUGAUAUCCAAUGAUUGUAAUUAUAAGAAAAACUCGAAUGGUUGAGAUCUACCACUGAUCAAAUCGAUGGUUCAUGCCUCCAUCCGAACCUAUAAAUAUUCCCCUUUUACUUUUUAUCGCUUUCAUCAACUUUUUGUAUUUUUCUUGUAGCAGCCUCUCAUUGCUCUUUCCUUUCUUCUCCAAUAUGCUAUUAUCAGCUUUUGACAUUUCAUGAUGUUACUCUUUUCGUAGAAAGGGCCAACAGUGUGCUUUUCUCUAAUUUUACCAGAUUUAUCUAGUCAAUUUCUUUCUGGAUUCUCAAUUAUUGCGCACAGCGAUGCAUUUUCCACCAUUAACACCUUUAGGCUUUCAGCUAUCUCCUAGAUCUUUUUGCAAUCGAUAUGUUUUUCCUUAAGCGAUGAUGCUGAACAGAAAAAAUGCAAACUUACGAUUUUGCCUGUGUCUCCUCCCACUGUCGUUUUGGAUUAUCAUCGCUAUCUGUUGGGCUGUUAUGCCUAAUGACCUUUCUGGGCUGUAAUGACACAAUGGGCUAAAGCCCAAAAUCUGUUUUAUUAAUACCAAGGCUCUUUCCCAAUAACAUGACUUGAUUUACUCAGCCCAAAAGGUAGAAAAUGUGUUUUUUCAGGCGUGGCAUUUUAAUGCAGUUCAAAAACACGACCUCUUCAUUAUUCUUGGGAGCCCUCGAUCGUUGGAUGAAAUCUUGAUCAAUGGUUAUUUUUGUGUGGGUAUAUAUAUGUCUCUAGCUUGCGCUAAUAAGUUGGAACGUCAUUCUUCUUUCCUUAAGCAACACGUGAGACUUCUUCCAGACUCUUCCAAAACCUUCUUCUUCGUAACCUUCCAAUCUCUGAUUGGAACAUAUUUCUGAGUGAUAUUUCUGUGUGAAAUUGAAAUACUAAGUGUAUUGAAGGGGUUGGUGUGUGAUUUUACCGUUGUGGCUUCCUUUAAUUUGAUAGAGAAAAGGCCUUAGGGUUGGGUGGAUUAUUUGGGUCAUAUAGACGGGUACAAACCUGAUUUUCUCUGGAGUCUGAGCCCAAAUUAUGAAAGAUCUUCAUCUUUGAUGCUUGUGGUCUGAGUUUCGUUGAUCGGUUGGAUGCAGAUUUAUUUUCAUCAUUUUGUGUACUAACAUUUAUUCUUGAUUGUUUUGUAUUUUUAGGUUCAUAACUUUGUGUAACAGUGGUUUUAGAGCCUUCGACUGACUCUUGUGGGUAAACCGAACCGUGCUUCAGCAGUAUCGUGAAGAUCUUGGAAAUUUCUUCGAGUCACAACCCUAGAUUUGGCAUUUUCUUUGUGAUGAAUCUGUUUUUUCUUGGUGAAAUAUGUCUACGAUGACUGGAUUCAUUCGUUCUUGGGCAUUGUGCACUCGCAUCUUGGUGAAAUUCGUGUGUCGUCAUGUGAAACGACCACCACUGUGGUUUAACUCUUGGAACCCUAUAUACUGCCUGAAAUCUUAUUAUCUAUCUUACUUGAUUGAUAGUCCUUUCCUAAAUGAUUUAGUGUUAAACUAUUUCCUGGCUCUGUGUGACAUGAAAAUAACCAGCAUGUUCUGUUGAAGUAUUGAAACAUAUGUGUCAAUUGUUCUCUGUUCUUAUUCUGUUGGAUUAUUGCAGUACACUUGUGAUUGUAUUUUCUUCAUUCUUGUAUUAAUACCUUCCUCAUUUUUGUAUCAACAAAAACCUAUACCCAUCACCCAAGUCUUGACCUGAGAUCUUGAGUCUCACGGAAUCCUGGUAGGGCUAGGUAGUUGAUCUUUAAAACUUUUUGUUGUCUAUGGUAUAUUAAGUUGUACUUUCUGCCUUGCCUGUAAUAUCAAGAAUCUUUGUUUCUUAUUUGUCUGUUGUGAAUUAAUACGUGUGAAUUGUUUGAUUAACAAGAUGACCACAUCUAGUUUUGAACUUGGGGUCUUUAAUGGGAAGGGAGAUUUUCCUAUAUGGCAACAAAAAAUGAGAGGUGUUUUAGUGCAACAGAAAGUUUCUAAGGCUAUAACUGAAGAGUUUCCUGAAACAAUGACACAAGAACUGAGAACUGAAUCUAAUGAUUUAGCCUAUACCUCAAUUAUUCUUCAUCUGUCUGACCAAGUGUUUUGAAAAGUAGGGAAAUUAGAAAAUGCUAAGGCCCUAUAGGAGAAAUUAGAGGAGUUGUACUUAGUGAAGUCUUUACCUAAUAAACUCUUCCUUCUAGAGAGAUUCUUUAGUUUUAAGAUUGAUCUAGCCAAAGACUUGGAUAAUAAUCUUGAUAGCUUUAAUAAUUGGUACAAGAUAUCGCCAAUGCUGGGGAUAAAAUUUUUGAAAAAUACAAAGCAAUGAUACUUCUUAAUGCUAUACCAAAGGCAUACAGGGAUGUUAAAUCUGCCAUUAAGUAUGGCAAAGACACUUUGACUCCUGAAAUUGUAAUAAAUUCUAUAAGAAAUAAAGAAUCAAAACUUAAAACUGAAAGACAGGGGAAGGACUCUGAGAGUCUAUUCGUGAGAGGAAGACAACCAAAUAGGCAAAAUAAUAAUCAUCAAAAUCAUUUAGGAAACAGUAACAGAAAGAAAUUAAGAAGUAAAUCAAGAUCAAAAUCAAAAUCAAGAAAUAACAGGAAGUGCUAUGGUUGUGGUAAACUUGGUCAUUAUAUAAAAGAUUGCCAUAACAAGAAAAUUGAACUUAAAGAAAAGAAAGUUGAUGAGGAAAUUGUGGUUGAACCUGCUAAACCUAACACAGUUGAUGUAUAUGUGGUGGCUCAACAAUCUGAUCUGGAAGUGGCAAAUUAUGCUCACAAUACAUAUGUUCAUAAGUGGAUAUUGGACUCAGGUUGUACCUUUCAUAUUAUAUAUGAAAGGUCCUGGCUUCAAGAUUUUAAGAAGUUAGGAGGUAGAGAAGUGGUGAUGGGAAAUAAUAUUGCCUGUAAAGUUGAAGGUUUAGGUAAUGUCACCCUAAAAUUUGAAAAUGGAUACAUUUAUACCCUAGAGAAAGUGAGGUAUGUCCUUGAACUGAAAAGGAAUCUGAUCUUUAUUGGGGAAUUAGAUGACCUAGGGAUGUGUGGUAAGAUUGGAUAUGGGUUGAUGAAGGUGAUCAAGGGAUCUCUUGUCAUCUUUAAGGGUGUAAAGAAAAAUGGAAUAAAUGUAGUUAAAGCUGAAACAAUACUUGGAAAUAUAAUGCUACUGUCUCUAAUGUUGAAUUUGACCCAUGUGUUUUCAAGUUUUUGUUUGCAGGUUUCCAGCAUGCUAUUUUUUGAAAAGUUUAUGCAAGUUGCUUUAAAUCAUUGUAGUCUUUUCUUCUAGACCGACCCUGUUCUAUCAGCAAUUUGUAUUAUUUUUUAUUUCUGUUGAAAAUAUUCUGUUAAAUUUUUUGACUGUUUCAAUUUUAUUGGCUUGCAAUUCUAGGGAAUUGGUAACUGUUAUGCUAUUUGUUUUUUGAUGUUCAACGUUCGCGGUCUGCCUUAGUUGAACUCGAAUUCUGGAUUCGCCCCGAUUAAACUAUAUUCUUAUGCAUGUUUAUUAAGGUUACAGUUUUUUGUUGAAGAUCACGUGCCAAAACUCAAUCUUUCUAUAUUAAGAUCUUUUUCUUCUUCAAUUCCCUCCUUAUUUUUGAACUUAGGUUUCGUGUAUAGGCAAUUCCAAGUGCCUAUAAAAAUAGAUAGUUUAGAAUUUAUCCAAAGCUAAAUACAUAAAAUAAGCUAGAAACAAUUAGAUAUAUAGCAAUAUCAUAACUAAAUAUUGGAUUAUGAAACUUGCUUGAUUUUUACUCAUGAGAAGGUUAAGUUUGGAUGAGCUUCGGCCUGCCAAACUGAAGAUGGACAAAAAAUGGGUUAAUUUCACAAGCAAUCACUGAACUUACUUGAAAAAUACAAAAUGAUCACUAAAGUUUAAGGCUUAUAGAAACGGUCACUGAAAUUUAGAGCACGCUGAAGUUUAAAAACUUGCAGAAAUGGUCACCUAGAUUUUUCAGAUUUUUGGGCGAGUUUUGCGACAAUUUUUCGGCAACUUUUGACCACCAAGACUGUCGAAUUUGGAUACGGUUGGAAAACCAAAAAUGUCCUCUUCAAUUACCAUCCAAAAUCUCCCCAUAACUCCAAAGGAUUCGAUCGGAAUAAGCCCACAAAUUCAGCUCCCUGAAAUUUGAAAAUCUGCCCAGAUUUUCAAAAUUUUGGGCGAUUUUUGCGACAAUUUUCUGGCAAAAUUUGACCACCAAGACCGUCGAAUUUGGAUACCGUUGGAAAGCCCACAAUGCCAUCUUUAAUUACCCAAAAUCUCCCCAUAACUCCAAAGGAUUCGGCCGAAAUAAGCCCACAAGAUCAACUCCCCAAAAUCUCAUCCAAAAAUCUGCCCAGAUUUUUGGGCAAGUUUUGCGGCAAAUUUCUGGCGACUUCGUCCAUGAAGAUUGUCGAAUUUGGAUACAGUUGGAAAGCCCACAAUGUCCUCUUCAAUUACCACCAAAAAUCUCCCCUCACGAGAUACUAGAUCUGCCAGAGUUAAACACUAGUGUAUGUUGCAAUCAACACAAGAAAAAUGUGAAGUUGCAUAUACUUAGCCUCUGUUUAGUGGGAUUAAAAUUAAAAUUUUAGUAGAUUUUGAUAAAAAUGGAUGAAAUGUUAAUUGAAAAGUUGUGAAUCCAAUAAAUAUGUUGUUAAAAUUAAUUAUUAAAUUUGACUUGAAUUAAAAUCUAGAUAUUAAUUCCUAUCAAACAUGGACUUAAAUUUAAGAAAAAGUUAUUUAACACGUGAGAUGGAGGAGAAAAGAUUAAGGACAGACGAGCACUCAGUAGAACGAGAGUAUUGUUUCAAACUCGAAUAAAAUGCAUCAAUCCAUAUAUGUAAAUGGUCAAUACACAUUCAUACUGUUUCGUUCUUCAUUUUUACAAAAAGCAUUUGAGCAUCCCAUGGAGAUAUACUCGAAUGAAACUUUUAUCUAACACAACUUUUCCAAUUAUAACUUCAAUUCUUGAAGUUCUUCUUUGCAAUUCUAUACAAGAUCUUGGACAAUGAAAUUGUUCUGCGAAUCAUGUCAAAUGUAAAUUUCACUUGCCUAUCUAGCGGUAUGCUAGGUAGAUCUCAAGGAAAUACAUCUAUAAAGUCUCACACAAUAUUUACGCUAUUAGCAGUUAGUUCUACAAUUCAGAGACAUUGUGAAUUGGCAAAUAUUAUAAAUAUUUAAGAAGCUAACUAGUAGUCAUAUAAUCAAUUUCAGAGAUAUAGUGGAUUUGCAAACAUUAUCCGUAAACGAAGGCUUCCACUAGCUACUGCAAAUUUGCUUUCUAAAUCAGCUUCCCCAAUCGCAUGAGCAGCAACUUUCGACUGGAAAACCCAAAAAAUAAGAUAGUAAACUGAAGAUGGGUAUAUGAUUCCUCUCUUGAAACAAACUUUUAAGUGCCAUUUUGGUAAUUGGUGUACAGUAUUAGGUUAUACUAAUAGUAUAAUAUACGACAUUUUUUUCCUUUUUAUUAUUGUCCACAACUGUCACCUUUCCACACAUACUACAACAAAAUGGACAUUUGCACGCUGUAAAAGCUCACUAUUUACAGAGUGCACAUGCACGCCGUAAAAAGUGUAAACUCACUUUUACGGUGUAAAUUUUAAUUUUGUUUUUUAAAAAUAUUUGUUUAUUUGGUUACCAACAAACCCAUAAUAAUUACAAAAUAAAAAGAUAUACAUUAGUCAUAUAUAAAUAGAUUUUAUAUAUGUCCAAUAAACAAAAAUAAUGAAUACGGUUCAAUACAAUAUGCCAAAGUGUAGAGUUCGUCUAAAUAAUUCUAACAUCGUUAACCUACUCAAAAAGUUAAAAGAUAUAUUGUUCACACAAAAAAGUGCAAGAGCGUUCAAAAAUACCGAGAUGACAAGCAAAUGCAUACCAUCAAGUAACAUGACAAACUUUGAAAUGCAAACAUUAACUUACCGAGAUUUGCAGCUCUUGUAAAUUUGGCAAGUUCACGAUCAGCUGAAGGACAACUAGAACCUCUUUCAUGUCAUCAAAGCUAACUUGAUACAAUUCUAUGAACUUUAAUUGGUGAUAUGUAAUUGGAAUGCAUCCUUCGUGACUACUGAUACUCAAAUACGAGAGGUUAAUGAGUUCAAGACAAAAAAUAUUUUCACAUUUUAAAACAGCUAUGUAUAAGCAACAAAAUCGCAAGUGGUUUCUACACAAAGGCAAAAGAUAGCCAUAUCUAGUUAUUAAUCUUAAAAGUAAGUGGAGAUGGAUACCUUUGUGAAGUAUAUAUGUCCAAUAAGCUUCUCAAGCUGGUAACACCACCAAGAAACUUGUGGAAGUUGUAGCUUGAGCUUUGUUCGAAAUGCUCUGCUAUGUCAUUAGUCAUUGGUUAACAAUUUUCCAAUGAAUCAAAGCAAUUUUCUCAAAAUCUAAUAAAACCCGUUAAAAUAAUAGCAUUAUUAAAAGAUUAAGAAAAAAAAAGAGGGAUCUUGAGAAGACGAUUGAAAUUGAUAAGAGAUCAGAAUAGAAAGCAUUAUAAUUUUCAAUAUAAAAACUAAAGAAAAAUUGUAAAUUACAGAAAAAACUAGGAAUCACCAAGGAGACUCAGCUCUCAGGGUCCCACUAUCUCAGGUCCACAGUGUGCUACCGAUUGCUUCAAGGCUCUAUUUCGAAGUCCGAAGGUGCUGCUGCUGCGUGAAUCGUGACUUGCGUCUAGGGCUGCCGCGAUUGAGAAGUUCAAAGUCGGAGAUGGCAGAUCAACUGCGAAGACUCAGAGACGGUUGAUGACUAAUUGAAGGUGGAAUUUUGGGAGAAAAUGCCACGAAUGACCAGCCAUAUUUCAUAAAAUUGAAUGAGAUGGAAAAUAAUUGGGACGAGACAAAAAGAUAAGGGAAAGAAAAGCGGGAAAAAAGGCAUUUACGGCGUACAUAUGCACGCCAUAAAAAGUGUAAUUUUUUAACAAACACGGCGUACAUAUGCACGCCGUAAUAAGUCCAAUUUUUUUAACCAAACACGGCAUGCCCCUAAAAAACGUCGUAAAUAAUUACAUUUUACAGCGUGCAUUUGUCAAGUUAUUAAUUUUUUACGGCAUACAAAAAAUGCAUGCCAUAAAUAGUCUUCUUUCACAACAUGCCAUAAAUGUGCGCCGUAAAUGUAUGUUGUAAAAACCCAUUUUUGUUGUAGUAUUUUCCAUUUGGUUUGCAUGAAUAUUAUAACAAAAGGGAGACAACAUUUCAGAGUUGUCCAGUCAUAAUAUUCAUAAUAUUAUGUCGGGUAAUGCCUAAGAAGAAGUUUUCACAUUUUCAACCAAGAUCCAAAAAUCUGAAAAUAAAUAAGGAAAAAUUUCAAGAAAAACCUUCUCAUACUGAAACUGGUGAAAUGAAUUUUUGAUAACAUGCUCUGCAGCAAAUUGUCCCUCAGAAUGGCUCAAUAAGUUUAGGAUUGAGUAGUAGCUUAGCCUGAAAGUACUGACCAACGGCGAUGGAUUACCCAGGACCAUGUCCUUGAGGAUAUUCAUUUCCAUCUGGUUUAAAAAGGAACGUUUAGGUGCUAAUGAAAAGUUUAGUUAAAUCAUGUCUUGUAAGAUACUUGGAAUAGUAAAAUUUCAUGUCCUGGUUGCAAUAGCUCAAGUGUUGCCUGCUACUUAGACUCGCUUAUUCCAGAGAAUUACUUCAGUAGUAGCACUUAUUCAUAAAGCAGUGAGUUUUGGCAUUUGUUAUUCUUAUCUAUCUUGCCUUUUUCAGUCCACAUUUAAUAAUGGAGGUUUAAGUAACAGCAGUUAUUUUGCAAUGUAGUCUUAAUACAACUGAAUUUGCAGAUGUCCAGUUAGGCAUUACAUUUUAUUCCAUAACGUCAUCAACAACAAGACAAUUUCCAAAUGAAUCCGACUACAACCGCAUGGUUACAAGAUAUGGAAAGUAACUCACUAUCAGAUUCAUCUUCCAAGGAAAAUUUACUCUAAAAUUUUAUUUUUUUUCCCAAUAGUUAAACUGAGAUAAAUGGUGCCAGCAAUAAAAUGACCUUUUCAUCAACCAUUAUAAUACAAAUACCCUGCUCAUCUUUACCACGACGUCCAGCUCUACCACUCAUCUAUUGGGAAGAACAAUCAUGUCAAAAAAUCAUGAACAGAAAGUAGGUGUAAUGUGUAUCUCUAUUUUUAGUAAUAAUGUUGUAACAACUACUCACCUGGAUAUACUCGCCGAAUCCUAUACAUCGUUGACUAUCACCAUCCCAUUUUUUCACACACGUGAAAACCAUAGUUUUUGCAGGCAUGCUCAACCCCAUGGCAAACUGUUACGAAUUAAUAUCAAUAGUUAAUAGAUGCAAUAAUUUUUUUAUUUUAUUUUUUAUUUUUUAUUAUUAUUAUUAUUUUUUGGCUGAAAGUGCAAUGAUACACAUUAGAUAUUCUUAUUAUGUAUGUACUAAUACCAGUUUGUAUGAGAAUGUCGUAAGACCUUUAGUAAGUGUUAAAUUAUUCUUAUGGAUGAGCUAAAAUAGGAGUAUGUUCAAAAUUUAAUAUCUGAAGAGCAUUUAUUGUAAACAACAGUCCCAUUUCUGUGGCAAAUAGAGCCUUAACCAGCCCUUCUUGAAAGAAGUUCCACAAGUUCUUUGACAAUAGGAAGCAAGCCAGAAUGGUGAACAGCUAUGCCUCUCUAAAGCAAUGGCAACAUUUUUUCAAUAGCAUGUAAGCAUCCAUCCUCCCCAUUUAAGGAAAGGAUUGCAUUUUUGAACGCUUGAUUCACAACGUCCUUUUUGUUGGUAAUUUUACGCCAAUUCCCUUUAUUUCUAUUUACCCGCAAGAUCUUUUGUUGUUUAAGAAAAUAUUAGCAAACAGAAAAAAAUAAAAAAUAUAACGCAUAAAUCAAACGGAAUGUCGAAGUUUUUCACUAUAUGAAAAAUUGUUACAAUCAUAUAGAAUUUUACUUACCAACCCAAUCCCCAAGCAUUACAAAGAAAAAAAUAAACUUGAAAUUUACCACACCUACUUUUCUACCCAAUAUACGAAAACUCUCAAGAUGCUAGGCUCACAAUAUUUUCCUCUCAGAUAAACUCUCUAGCCACACUCAAAAUAAUGAAAUAGAUCCACUAUUUAUAGGAUCAAUAAUCAAGUAGAAGAGAUUAAUUUUAGCUCAAACAAGACUCUUUUAACUCAAUAAGGAUUCCUUCAUGUGUAAGACUCCAAAACCGGCUGUAUAUUGGAAACCAAAUUCUGCAAGGAUUUUACUCUCAACUUUAAUUAGAAGUCUUCUAUACAAUAACUACAUUUUUAUUAUCUGCAAUAGAAGUCCUCUACCUUUUGGCUUUUGAACCAAUUACCCAAACCAAGGAUUGAUCUGGGAUAAAGAAAAAGGGUUCAGGCUAUGAAGAAGGGCUAAAGAUUUUAAAUUAAGUUUGCCUUUUCGAGGGUUGAAGUUUAUAUUUCGUGCUAAGAAAGGUCCCCCGGGUAUUUCUAAGGAUGGACGUCAUACCAACCAUUCCCAUAUAGGCUUAUCGGGGUAGAUGCUUCUCACAUUCAUCACGCGUCCAUCUAGGUCGUUGAUUGUGUACAAACAAAAUACGAGUCUAAUCUCCACCUUGCCAAAAGCGAGUCCAAACCUUUUACUAUAUAGCCAAAAUUGACUGUUUAUUGGAGACCAAAUUCUGCAAGGAUUCUACUUUCAACUUUAAUUAGAAGUCUUCUAUACAGUAACUACAUUUUAUUAUUUACAAUAGAAGUCCUUCAACUUUUGACUUUUGAGCCAAUUCCCAACAAUUUCCACCUUGUCGAAAAUGAGUCAAAAUCUUAAUCAUCUCUUCUACAACUUUUAAUCACAAUACUUGGAAAAACAAGUAAGCAUUUGAUACACUUUAACGGUCUCAUACUCCACCAUAUGAGUAUAACCACUCAGAAAUAUCAGCAAACUCCGAGCAUUUCAUCGGCUACAUGUCAAAACAACCCUACUUAUAGUUAUGUUCACUGACUUUUCCAGAGAGCUCAUCAGCCAUCGACAUCACAAUACCACCACAUACCUAUACACCUUGCAUAGACACCUUACAUCAAAUUUCAGUCAAUGCUAUGUACAGAUAUGCUGACCCGUGCCAGUAAUAACACAUUCUUUAUCAUGGCAACUUGCAACAUGCCAUGAGAAUGUUCUCAUCUUACUUUACAGCACGACAUCUGCAUCCUCCUCCUUUGUGAGAGAUACAUUGUUCAAAUCCAAGCAGUUAACCGACCCUAUUCCACCUUUUGGACAAUUUCUUUUCACAUGGCUAGUCUGACCAGAGUUCCAACAAGUUACCUUCUUCCUCAUAGAGUUACUCUUCUUCCCUU